GGCCCUUCGGGGUACUCGAGCGGCGAACGGGUGAGUAACACGUGAGCAACCUGCCCCUGACUCUGGGAUAAGCCCGGGAAACUGGGUCUAAUACCGGAUACGACCGCCCCCGGCAUCGGGUGGUGGUGGAAAGUUUUUCGGUUGGGGAUGGGCUCGCGGCCUAUCAGCUUGUUGGUGGGGUAGUGGCCUACCAAGGCGACGACGGGUAGCCGGCCUGAGAGGGCGACCGGCCACACUGGGACUGAGACACGGCCCAGACUCCUACGGGAGGCAGCAGUGGGGAAUAUUGCGCAAUGGGCGGAAGCCUGACGCAGCGACGCCGCGUGGGGGAUGACGGCCUUCGGGUUGUAAACCUCUUUCAGCAGGGACGAAGUUGACGUGUACCUGCAGAAGAAGCGCCGGCUAACUACGUGCCAGCAGCCGCGGUAAUACGUAGGGCGCAAGCGUUGUCCGGAAUUAUUGGGCGUAAAGAGCUCGUAGGUGGCUGGUCGCGUCUGCCGUGAAAGCCCGCAGCUUAACUGCGGGUCUGCGGUGGAUACGGGCCGGCUAGAGGUAGGUAGGGGCAAGUGGAAUUCCUGGUGUAGCGGUGAAAUGCGCAGAUAUCAGGAGGAACACCGGUGGCGAAGGCGGCUUGCUGGGCCUUAC
rnacentral:rRNA from 1 species